rfam:Dipodomys ordii contig_5597, whole genome shotgun sequence.
GGGAAGGUGGCUCAGUGGUAGAGCGCUUGCCUUGCAUGCAUGAGGCCCUUGGUUUGAUUCCUCAGCAUCACA